rnacentral:tRNA from 1 species
GCGCCCGUAGCUCAGGGGAUAGAGCAUCGGUUUCCUAAACCGGGGGUCGUGGGUUCAAGUCCCGCCGGGCGCA